UACGGAGGGGGCUAGCGUUGUUCAGAAUUACUGGGCGUAAAGCGCACGUAGGUGGUUUUCUAAGUCAGCUGUGAAAUCCCCGGGCUCAACCUGGGACUUGCAGUUGAAACUGGGAAGCUAGAGUAGGGUAGAGGGGUGUGGAAUUCCAGGUGUAGCGGUGAAAUGCGUAGAUAUCAGGAGGAACACCGAUGGCGAAGGCAGCCCCCUGGGCUAACACUGACGCUCAUGCACGAAAGCGUGGGGAGCAAACAGG
rnacentral:rRNA from 1 species